rnacentral:rRNA from 1 species
UACGUAGGGGGCAAGCGUUGUCCGGAUUUACUGGGCGUAAAGAGCGCGUAGGCGGAACGUUUAAGCGGGGCCGGAAAGCUCCCGGCUCAACCGGGGAAGGGGCCGCGAACGUGGCGUUCUUGAGGGGGAGAGAGGAGAGCGGAAUUCCUGGUGUAGCGGUGAAAUGCGUAGAGAGUCAGGAGGAACACCCAUGGCGAAGGCAGCUCUCUGGCUUCACCCCUGACGCUGAGGCGCGAAAGCGUGGGGAGGCGAACGGG